rnacentral:lncRNA from 1 species
UGAAGUCAAUGUCCAGGUUUAGUUUGAUGGACACAGAUACCAGGAUUAAAAUGUACAGUAUCUCUGUAUAUAAAGACACAUUUUGACACGUUAUUCACUUAUGUCCAGGGAUGUUGAUUGGAAAUCUAUUUUCAUCAUCAAUGCUGUUUGAGUAUGAUGAAUGCAUUGAAUAUAGUCAUAGAACAAAAAUGUACACAAGUGAGUAAAGCUGGUCAUUUUCAGCCUACUGCAGUAGUCCUAUGUGGCAGUAUUGUACUAGCUUCCUCCAUUCCUGUGCUGCGGUUACAAUCUGCCUGUCUAGUCAAAGCCUUAAUGAUGAGUGACAGACAAGUUGAGCUCUGCUUGUUCUCAAUGUCAACAAUGGCACUCAGGAAAUGUUCUCUUGUGCCUGUCUGUCAAAAUGUAACAAAGUCCUCUACUGUUCUGUUUCCAACUUCCCAUUCUGAAAGUGACUCUCAUCUUUCCCCUUUUCCCCUCACUCCCUUCUGCCUGCCCCCACUUGAGACUGGCUGGGCCUCGACACUGAAAAAGCCCGAUAGCUAUGGACGUCUGUUACUACUCAAUGCUGGUCUCUCUCUCUCUCUCUCUCUCAAUUUAAAUUUUCAAUUUAAGAGGCUUUAUUGGCAUGGGAAACAUAUGUUACCAUUGCCAAAGCAAGUAAACACUCACUCUCAUAUACUCUCUCUCUCUCUCUCUCGCUCUCUCUCUCUCAUUCUGUGUCUCUGUGUCCUCCUCUCUCUCUCUCUCUCAUUCUGUGUCCUCUCUCUCUCUCAUUCUGUGUCCUUCCUUCCCUCUCUCUCUCUCUCUCUCUCUCUCUCUCUCUCUCUCUCUCUCUCUCUCUCUCUCUCUCUCUCAUUCUGUCCCUCUCUCUCUCUCUCUCUCUCUCUCUCUCUCUCUCUCUCUCUCUCUCAUUCUGUCCUUCUCUCUCUCUCUCUCUCUCUCUCUCUCUCUCUCUCUCUCUCUCUCUCUCUCUCUCUCUCUCUCAUUCGGUGUCCUUCUCCCUCUCUCUCUCUCUCUCUCUCUCUCUCUCUCUCUCUCAAUUCAAUUCAAUUCAAUUCAAUUCAAGGGGCUUUAUUGGCAUGGGAAACAUGUAUUAACAUUGCCAAAGCAAGUGAGGUAGAUAAUAUACAAAAGUGAAACAAACAAUAAAAAUUAACAGUAAACACACA